CCUACGGGAGGCAGCAGUGGGGAAUCUUGCGCAAUGGGCGAAAGCCUGACGCAGCCAUGCCGCGUGAAUGAUGAAGGUCUUAGGAUUGUAAAAUUCUUUCACCGGGGACGAUAAUGACGGUACCCGGAGAAGAAGCCCCGGCUAACUUCGUGCCAGCAGCCGCGGUAAUACGAAGGGGGGCUAGCGUUGCUCGGAAUUACUGGGCGUAAAGGGAGCGUAGGCGGAUAGUUUAGUCAGAGGUGAAAGCCCAGGGCUCAACCUUGGAAUUGCCUUUGAUACUGGCUAUCUUGAGUAUGGGAGAGGUUAGCGGAACUCCGAGUGUAGAGGUGAAAUUCGUAGAUAUUCGGAAGAACACCAGUGGCGAAGGCGGCUAACUGGCCCAUUACUGACGCUGAGGCUCGAAAGCGUGGGGAGCAAACAGGAUUAGAUACCCUGGUAGUCCACGCCGUAAACGAUGAGUGCUAGUUGUCGGCAUGCAUGCAUGUCGGUGCGCGAGCUACGACAUAAGACACUCCGCCGUCGGGGAGGUACGGUCGGCGAAGAAGUUAAAACGUUAAAGUUAAGUAAGUUAGUUACGGUACGUUAGAGACGUUGCCGACGGACGACGACGAGGGGAGGUUAGG
rnacentral:rRNA from 1 species